UACGUAGGGGGCUAGCGUUGUCCGGAAUCAUUGGGCGUAAAGCGCGCGUAUGCGGCCAGAUAAGUCCGGUGUGAAAGCCACAGGCUCAACCUGUGAAUGCCGCUGGAAACUGUCUGGCUAGAGUCCGGGAGGGGCGAGUGGAAUUCCUGGUGUAGCGGUGAAAUGCGCAGAUAUCAGGAGGAACACCGAUUGCGAAGGCAGCUCGCUGGGACGUAACUGACGCUGAGACGCGAAAGCGUGGGGAGCAAACAGG
rnacentral:rRNA from 1 species